rnacentral:lncRNA from 1 species
GAUGACGUCAUCAUUACACAUCGAUAUGACGGUAGAGGGACGUAUAGACAGGGCAUAGACAUAGGUGGAUUUUAGAAAGAUCAGUAUGGACGAUAUUCUAGACGAAAUUGGACUGGGAGACGUUAAAGAAAUCUUUAGAAGAAAUCGGAUGGAAGUCUACCACUUACAUUUGGGGAACUUAUGUCGUUCAUUACGGGAGCUGACCACAUCCCGCCAUGCGGCUUCUGCCAAAAAGUUGUAAUUAGUUUCUACGACCAAACAGAUGGAACAGUUCGGUACCCGUCAGUGUCAACAUGUGCAUUCUAUCUAUGGCUCCCACGAGGAAUGGAUAAUGCAAAGGAUUUUGCAGAGCUGAUGAUGGAUGCCGUGAAAAAUUCUCACGGUUUUCUAAAAAUUUAAUGAAGUUCAAUUUCAGUUACAUUUUAAGAGGAGUAUCCUAACAUUGGAGUAUGUGACGAUUUCAGUAAUAGAUCCGUUAAUUAUUGAAAGGAAACAAUUUUUAAACAUUUUAUUUUAAUGUCACAAAUUAGUGGCCUUGAGACUGUUUUUAAGUUUAGUUCAGACUGUUGUAUUUAAAUUUUAACUGUUAAUUGUACCCCUGCCCCCACCCCCUGCACAAACGAAGUUGUAAAGGGGUAUACUGGUUUCAGGUUGUCUGUCUGUCCGUUAGUCCGUCCGUAGAUGCAAUAUGUUUUCGCACCAUAUCUCUGAAACCCCUUGACACAAUUUAAUGAAACUUCACAUAAGUGAUCAGUACAAACAUAGGUUGUGCUUAGGUUCUUUAAAAAAUUGUGUGCAGUUAUGGGACUUUGUUUUUCUUUGUUACCAUGCUCUAUGCAUAGUCUGCAUAUGCAAUCUUGUGCGCGCCGAAUCUGCUUAACCUUUGAACGCAAUUUAAUGAAACUUCAUGCAAGUGAUCGGUACCAAUCCUAGUUGUGCAUGGUGCAUGAUAGGUUCUUUCUGAAAAAUAAAUCUGCAGAGUUAUGGGACUUUGUUUUCUGUGACCAUAUUAUUUACAUAGUUUGCAUAUAAUUUAUUGAAACUUUACACAAAUGGUCAGUACCAACCUUAGAUGUGCACGGUGCAUGUUAGGUUUUUUCUUCAGAAAAAAAAACUUGCAGAGUUAUGGGACUUUUGUUUCUUGUUACUAUUUUACAUACAUGUUUACAGUCUGCAAAAUUUUGCAAUCUUGUGCGCGUCAAAUAUCCUUAUAUUUAUAUAAGAGUGUCUUUUUUCCCUACAUAGACUUUUUGUAACGUCUUUUAAAUGCAAUAUACUGUGUCAAUGCAAGCAGGGGGUAUAUUCAUCAUCUUCAGUGAUAGCUCUAGUUAACAGCUGUCAUCCACAGCGUGUGAAGGAUUACACAUAUAACUCAUCUUAUGUUUCCAGUGGUGUAACAUGUCACUUUCGGAGAUUUGCAAAUUGUCUAUGUUAAGAGUGUGUCUAUUACGAGACGAUAUUUGAAUCCAUUA